rnacentral:rRNA from 1 species
CCUACGGGAGGCAGCAGUAGGGAAUAUUGCUCAAUGGGGGAAACCCUGAAGCAGCAACGCCGCGUGGAGGAUGAAGGUUUUCGGAUUGUAAACUCCUUUUGUUAGAGAAGAUAAUGACGGUAUCUAACGAAUAAGCACCGGCUAACUCCGUGCCAGCAGCCGCGGUAAUACGGAGGGUGCAAGCGUUACUCGGAAUCACUGGGUGUAAAGAGCGCGUAGGCGGGAUAGCAAGUCAGAUGUGAAAUCCUAUGGCUUAACCAUAGAACUGCAUUUGAAACUGUUAUUCUAGAGUAUGGGAGAGGUAGGUGGAAUUCUUGGUGUAGGGGUAAAAUGCGUAGAGAUCAAGAGGAAUACUCAUUGCGAAGGCGACCUGCUAGAACAUAACUGACGCUGAUGCGCGAAAGCGUGGGGAGCAAACAGGAUUAGAUACCCCGGUAGUC